rnacentral:rRNA from 1 species
UACGUAGGGCGCAAGCGUUUAUCCGGAAUUAUUGGGCGUAAAGAGCUCGUAGGCGGUUUGUCGCGUCUGCCGUGAAAGUCCGGGGCUCAACUCCGGAUCUGCGGUGGGUACGAGCAGACUAGAGUGAUGUAGGGGAGACUGGAAUUCCUGGUGUAGCGGUGAAAUGCGCAGAUAUCAGGAGGAACACCGAUGGCGAAGGCAGGUCUCUGGGCCAUUACUGACACUGAGAAGCGAAAGCAUGGGGGAGCGAACAGG